UAAGCCUGUUAGGACUAUAAGCUGGUGUUGUGAUUUUUAAAAUUUGUCUAGCUGACCAAGAGCAUGCUGUACUCUUAGUUAACUACCUGCCCUGUCCAUUACACUACUGAUUUGUGUCAUGUGUAAAAGCUAACCAGAAUUGUAUACAGUACUACAAAUAUGGCCUUAACCAACAAUCUUUCUAUAGCUGUGAAAUGACAUCCCAACCCCUAUACUCGAUACAUUAUCACACUACAGGGGUUGCAUUCAGUACAACUCGACCACUUGCUUAUUCUUAUUUAUGUGGCCUGCUAUCCAUAGUUUCUAGUUUAUCUACGCCCUAGAUCUCUUUCUCUGGGCUCCAAUUCUACGAACUCCUUUCCCCCGCCGGCCGAGCGGGAGGAGGGGCCGCAGGACACAAUCACUGGGGGAGGAGCCAGAGUGAGGGGGCGGGAACCUGAGGAUUAUGCCGUGAGAAGGGGGCGGGGCCGGAGGACUUGGUCAUCGGCGGACGGGACAAUGGAGUGGGCGGGGCCUGGGGACGAUACGCUGUCACCGCCAGAAAACGAGGCUGGACGACUCAGUGCACUGAGGACAAAGUUAAAAAAAAACACACCAAGUUAUAGUUCAACAGGUUUAUUUGGAAACACUGCUUCAAGUGCUUGUGAAGCAGGACCAUAAAACACAGCAUUCAUAGCAAAAGAUUAAAGUGAUACAACGAGUUAGUGCUUCCAAAUUAACCUGUUGCAUUUUACCCUUGUGUUGUGUGAUUUUUUUUAAACUUUGUCCACCCCGGUCCAACAUCGGCUCCUCUGAGGAACCGGUGAGAGUGGGCGGGACCGAAGCACCCGUCACCGGCUGACGGAACAAUAGGAGUGGGUGGGACCGGAGGCUGCAGACACCGGGAGGGGCGGGGCCAGGUGGCUGUCAAUCACUCGUGCGGCAAAGGCUGUCGGGAGACGGGCCUAGCGAGACGCUCCAGCCACGCCAAGAGAGAACGGGAGAGAGAAAAAAAAAUUCGAGAGAAAACAAUCGGGAGAAGGAGCCGUCCGAUCAGGCGUGUAAGAGCCAGAGAGAUAUAGAAAGAGGGGCGAAGCUAAUAGACAGACCGCUCGCAGAAAGAAACAGAGCGCAGCCUCCGUUUAGGGACCUCCAUGAUGUCCACCUGCGUGGUCCAGGUCACCAACAUCUCCCCGGUGGCCAGCGCCGAGCAGCUGACCACUCUCUUCAGUUUCCUGGGAGACAUCGACGAUUUCCGCGUCUUCCCUUCCGACAAUUCGCCUAUCCCAGUUUCGACAAGGGUAUGUUACAUUAAAUAUCACGAUCCUGUGAGUGUUGGUGUGGCCCAGCAUCUAACAAACGUGGUUUUUAUAGACAGAGGCCUCAUAGUUGUUCCCUUCAAUGAAGUAGAUGACUAGACUGGCGAAGGCAGACCUGUGCACUUGCCUACUGUAGGCAUUGUUUGCCAUGCCACUAAUGCUGACACCAAGCAAAACCUUCACGGGGGGAAUAAUGACUGGAGGCUGCCCGUCGACAUCUUCCAAGAUGGAUACCCUGUCUUUUUUUUUUAUUUGUCCCUUGUAUACAUCUUCUCUUUAAACUUUUUAACCUUUCUGUUUUUGUACUGUGUUAUUUGUAAAUGUUCUCUAACUAAAAUACUGUUUAUUAAAUCAGUUCCUGAUGUGUGUGUUUGUAUGUGUGCGUGCAUGUGUGUGUAUAUUGGGGAGUGGAGUUCUUUUUAGAUAUGUAGUUUAUAAUGGUACCUUUUUGAAAUGCCAAGAUAAAGUUUUGCCAUUGUUUCUUAAGAUAUUUUGAAUUAUACCAUUAUUAUAAUGUUUAAAACCAUGAGUUUAUUUCAGGAAGUAUUUGAAAGCUUUUUAUAUGGCUUUGAAAUUUUCAAUUGAUAUAUGAUACCAAUCUCUUUUGCUUUCAUCACAAUUUUGUGACUGCUGUAGUGAAAUCUUUUUUUCUGUUUUAGUUAAUGAUAACUAUAAGUUUGUACUCUUGUAUGUUAACAAGGAACAUUUUUAGGGACAAUGUAGUUAAUAUAGAUAAUGAUUAGUGGCUAUAACAUAAAAUUCUAUUUGUUUUCUACCACACAUCAUUUUCACAUCUGGCAGAGUACUGAUUUAUGAUCUUUUCACUAAAUUGUAUACAGUGAUUGAUAUAAUGUGAACCUGAAUUUCCCCCUGUAUUCUAUCCAGUCACAGCAUGCUGGCUAUUCUCUGUAUAUUCUCCCCACCCUGCCAUUAUUAAAAUAAAUUUGUUGUGUGGUAGAAAACAGAGUAUGCAUUUGAAAGUAGUGAAGUGCAGUGUACUGCAUGAUUUUCACCACUUCCCCACAAGAUUUGUAAUUUAUUUACAAGUAGUUUGUGAUACUAGUUAAAUGUUCAAGCACACAGAAAUUCUUAUUUAAAAGCUAGCGGUAUGGUGAUAUUGUUUUUAUAAGGUAAUAUUUGAUACAGUUCUUAAAUAUGGCAGUGUUUGGAAGCAUUUGUUCUAUUUGCCUGAAGCAGUACAUUGUGUUUUUUUUUUAAUCCAGGUUUUGACUUUUCUCCUCAAACCUACGGUGUGAGUUGUAUUAGUGUACAAAUUGCUUGGGUGCCCAUAGGUCUUUGAUUCCUUAUUCAAAAACUAAUUAGUUUUUGUGAUGGUCUGACAAUGAAUAUCAUCUGACCAAUAAAAACAGAAAUUGCUGCAAGUAUUUAGCAAGAGAGGCAUUGCCUGUGAAGAGAGAAGUUGAGUUAACAUUUCAGACUAAUAAAUAUAGUUUAGCAUCGUUAAUUGUCGUUAUAAGAAAAGAAUACAGCAUGGUUGCAUUUUGUUCUCAUCCAAUAUCCAUAUGUGUAUGGUUUUAAGUACAGAUCAAUGUGUUACGAAGUGUGAACCCUACCUAAUUUUUCUCCCCACAAUUUAAAGGGUGAACCAGCAAGUUGUUAGCCGUUACUUUUAUUCUGGCCUUCUGUAGUCAGUUCAGACUGGAAAUUAAUAAAUGUGUGGCCUUUCAACUCUACGUGACUAACAAAUCACAAUCAUGUUUAUUCACUAACCCCCUGUCUCUUUCACUGAUUAUUUUUAGAAAAGAUUUGAGUUGGGUUCACCUAACUUAAAACAUUUUGACGUUUUAAAAUUUGGAGGUACUUAAAAUUUCAAUGGUAACCUCACAGUGUGUUUUGGAAAAUAGUCCUUUUUAAUACCAAAGGAAGUCGAUACAUCUGGAACACAGAUGUGGUAUCACAAUAUUUAAGAAGUAUUUAGGUUAAUACUUGAAAUAUCAUAUGUGAACAAGGCUGCAGAACAAGUGUUGGAAAAUGGACUAAAAUAGGUACUGGAUGCCCAGUGAAAUAACAGUGAACUGAGCGAUCUCAUUCCAUGCUAUAAAAUGCAUAUUAUUCUAUAACUCUACAAUGGCUAGAGACUGAUUAUUUUUACAAUUUUAAGUUAACUUGCGCUUCUUGUUCACCUGCAUUAAUUCAUGAUAAAGGUGUUCUCACCAACUCAGCAUCUAAAGGUAGCAUUGAUAGUUUGACAUAUUUUUUUUAAACACAAGAACAUGAAUGAAAUAUGAAUUGACCCUGCAGAGACUUUAUAUAUUAUCCAGUAAACGGAUUCAGUCGUAAACCUGAACAAAUUAAUAUUGAACUUUCAGAAAUUCAUCGCAGGCCUCUGAAAGCAAGAGAAUUGUUACAGGUGACUGCAGUAUCUGACCAAAGCAACAUCUUAAUCUGUUCUCAAAAUGUUGCUAUCACUACUGUCAAAUAGUCCUGAUGUAAAAGGUCAAUGCCAGAACCCAGACAUACUUUCUAUUGACACCUUUGAUGUUUAGGUCUGUCAAGCAGAUAAAUCACUAAGCCGUCAUAUUGUGAACUGCAAAAUCACAGUCGUUGAUAUCAGUCCCCUCUAUGAUAAGCUGUGGAUUAAACUGAAAAAUGCUCGAAAUGUGACCCUGAUACGGUGUGCGUCCAUUGUCAUUUUUAGGAUGGCAGUAUUCUUGACGUUCAAAUAUCCUCUAUGGAAUUGCUGAACGUACACUUAAAUUGGAUUUCGGUGCAGUUGGGAGCUUGAUUUAAAGUUGACUUUGCAAUAUGAGUUUCCCAGGAGCCAACGAUCAUGGCAGUAAAAGGAAGUAGGCAGUACUGAAUUCAUGAGAUCAUUGCCUUUUUCACCAUUGUUGCAUGUUGGGAAGCAGAGUGCUUUCUCUAACUUUACAAGGAAGCCUUCAGCUUUGUGAUUGUGAACUGAUUUUUAGCAUCACUCCUUUCCUCCUGAUUUCUAUGUUCUGUUUUUGGAUGUACGAGCUGCACCCACUGCAGCUGAGUGUUUCUCCUGACUACUGGUUACAGGUUAUCUGUUUGACUAGCUUGUGAUUAGGAUACUGACUGCAUUGAGAUCCUGCAAUAGAGUUCAGCAGGACAUCCAUGUCCAUAAACUUUCCAGCUUCUUUGACCUCCCUCCAUAAAUAUUAUGGGCACCAAAUUCGCAUUUUGAAAAGUCAUUCAUUAUUGGAUCUAGUGAAGCACCAGAAUGAAUAGCAAACUAAAAAUAAGAGUUGACCAAUUAACAAAUUAAAAAAAAAAAUUGUGUGCCAGCUUACAAUGCAGAGAUUUAAUUAAAAAUAAUAUAUUAAUAAUCUGUCUUUUUGUUUUUCAAAACAAGAAACUUUAAUCAUAAUGCUGUACGUAGCACAAACAAAAGUUGUGAACUGGUUUAUUAACAAUGUAUUCACUAUUUAGUGACACAUAGUGGCACUACCAAUAUUGCUACAGUAUGGCUUACAUUAAACUACUUAAUUGAAAUCUGCACAGUACUUUUCCUCUUUCAUUUAAUGAAUUCCACUUGCUCUUUCUCCUUUUCUCUUUUGCUCUACUUUGGCUGAUUACGUUUUGCUUUCUAAUAAUCAUUUAAUCCUGUUUUUCCGCCUCUGUGUCCUUGUCAGUUUUCUUUCUCGAUCUCUUACUCACUCAGUACUCUGUUCUACUUGUUCCUACUCUCAUUUCUGACUUGUUUUUGCUUACUUAUUUGCAUUUGGUUCUUUUCUUGCAGUUACUCGCAAUUAAGUCUCAGUAAUUUGUGUAGCACAUAGUUGAACAGAUCUGACAGAAGUUUGUAGAACUAAAAAGAUAUGCUUGUGGCAGUAGCACCAGUAUCUCAUGUCAUUUCACCCCCACUCCUUUCCUCCCCUUUGGAGGAUGCAAGACCAUUGGUUUUGUUAUCUCCCUUUGUUGAAUAAAAUUAAUUAGUUUAGCAAUGAUAUUAAUUCUCAUUGGAUGUGAAACUUUUGAGUUAGUUUAUGUCUGUUGCACCUCAAAAUUAUCAAAAACAUUAAGCUAAUGCCUAUAUCCAUACAGUUUUUCUGAUGUUGAUUAACUGGCUUUUGACUUUGGCAGUAGUUGUUGCACCACAAGCAGUUGUUAAUCUACGGAAGCUUAUUAUAGUAUUUGCCUAAUUUAUGCUUAUUUUCUAAGAUAAUAAUUUAACAGUAACCUUAAAGGAACAGAGCUGUAAGCAACUUGAUAUAAAGGCUAUACUCAGUGCUACAGGAGAUCAACUAAUUCCAGUUCUAUUGGUUACCUGGGCCAGGAAGGAGGAAGGAUAGUUAAGUAAUUCACUAAAAGCAGUUGCAAUUCAGCCACAGAAGGGCUGCAUAAAUUUUGAGCUCCCUGCUGUUCCUGGCCAUCUCCUACCCCAAUUUUAUUGCGCAGUAACUGGUGAUCAGUUGACUGUAAAAUUAUUUGUGCAGAUGCACAUAUCAUUGUUGCACAGGCAAGGUAACGUGUAAUUUGUCAUGGUAUUCAGGGCAAAUUGAAUUACAUUACAUUACAUUAUGAUCUCACGUGAACAAUUAUGGUGUCUUGCUGCAACUGUUAAACUGGUUUUUAAUUUUUUUUUAAAAAAAGAAAAUCAGUUCUUCGAUUUUGGCUAUGUCAUUUUAUUGGGGACUGAAAAAAGAAUUUUAAAAAAUGUUCUUCUUUUCUGUAUCUGAUGUUCUGUGUGCUAGUAGUGAUGCAGCCAACAUGAACGGUUGUCGUGUGUAACACAACUUUCGAACACUGAGAGUGAUCGCCUGGGGAAAGCGUCCAUGCUUGAUAUCGUAUGGUACAUGACCAAUAAGUUUCAAGUACAGGUAAAAUCCCAGAUGAAGCCAAAGCCGUGUCCCUUUUAGUUCCUUCUGGUACUCCAGGAUUGAUACCCGGUGCAGGCUUGCUCCCAGUCCCUACUUCAAACCCACUUGCUUCGUGUCUUCGCAGAAAUCUGCCAUCCUUAUCUGCUCUGGCCUACGUCAUUCCAAAGCCUACAACAGUGGUUGACUCUGAACUUCCUGAUCGGCAAUCAAUGUUGGCCAAGCCAGGAAACCCUACAUCCUGUGUAUGAAUUGUUUUUUAAAAAGCUGUCCUUUUUUUCCCUCUUGCAUAAUAAACGGUUAAUUUUUUAAAAAAAUCUGAAACCUUGCUUCAGAAACCAAUGUUAACUAACUAAGCAAAACAGUGAAACGUGAUCAGUCCAGCUCGGUUUUGUUUUGGGAUCUCACUUGUACUGUCAAAGUGGGCAGUAUUUGGUAUAUAAAAAUAAUGUGAGAAAAUGUGAACGUGACUUCUUUUGUAGGAAGUGUCGAAAAAUAAAAUAUUAUUUAAAUAAAGAUUGCAGCAUUGUGAGGUAAACUGUAAUGUACAGAAGGGUCUAGGUUCCCUGACAAAUGAACUAUAAAAGGCUAGUAUGCAAGUCCAGCAUGGUUGAGAAGGCAAAUGGUCUGUUGUAGCAUAUUGCAAGAGGAGUGGACUAUUUUACUACAGUUGUAAAGGGCAUUGGUGAGAUCACAUUUAAAAUAGCUUUGGUGACCUUAUUUAAGAACGGACAUAAUUUCAUUGGAAACAGUGCAGAAGAGGUCACUUGAUUACUGGGAUGAGCAGUUUGUCUUAUGAAGACGGCAAGGCAGCGGAGGUUUGAAACCAGACUCACAUGUGGGAAAGGCUUC